rnacentral:lncRNA from 1 species
UUUUUUUUUUUUUAAAGACUUUUUUUAUUUAUUCAUGAAAGAGAGAGACGGAGGCAGAGACACAGGCAGAGGGAGAAGCAGGCUCCAUGCAGGGAGCCUGAUGUGGGACUCCAGGAUCACACCCUGGGCCUAAGGCAGGUGCUAAACCACUGAGCCACCCAGGGAUCCCCUCCUGUCCCUUUCAAGGUCCUUCUAGCCAGGCUAAGAAUCAAAUUGACAUGAAACAGACUAAUUAGCAAAAAAAGUAAAAUAAAAUAAAAUUUAAUUUUGAACAUACGGGGAAUACACACAGACAUAGAAAUUCCAAAGACAGGCAAAAUGAGGUAUAUGUAUGAUUCUGAACUAAGAGAAAAGGACAGGAAUCUGGGGCUUGAAAGGUAACAAAUGUAAAUGUUUGAUAAACAAAUGUUUGCUGAGCCAUUCAGUAACAAUGGGACCAAGAGGACUUUGAUCAAACAGGCCUUGCUGGGUCCCUUCUUACCUGCCAUACCUGGUUCAUGUGUAAUGUAGGUAUCUAUGGUGAUGAUAGCUCCCUUCCUGGAGCAAUUCUUCUCCCUAAAUUCUCAUCAGGCAAUUGUAAAGGAGGUAAAGUGCUUUUCCUUAAUUUGCUUUUUAACUCAAAAUAACCUUCAUGCCAAAGUGGCACAUCUUGGGACUGCCUACCCUUUGUACCUAUAGGAAGUACAAAUGUUCCAUAGUGAAAGCCAGAGAAAAGCAGGUACAGGUUCUCGUCAGAGUGUGUGGCCUUAUUCCCUGUAACACUAAGAGGAAUCACAAAGCAUCACAGUCUUAUUCCCCAAGAAUACUCGAGAGCAUUCACUCAUUGCUGGUAGUAAGGAAAAGCAAAUCGUGCGUAAGCAGUAUUAUACAGCAUGCUACGGUAUAAUUCGGUAGAUAUCUGAUUAACCAGACUCUAGAUGCCAGCCUUUCAAUAAUCAGAUCUUCUUUUUCUUCAUGCUCCUUAAAGAGAAGGAGGCAAAGAGAUAAGAAACAUAUGUGAAAUGAGAACUUAGUCCUAAGACAAUUCCAAUCUUAGCUUAGGGUCGUCUUUACUUUCCAACAUUCUGUACCCACAGAGUUUGAUGAUAACAGUGAACAUUGAGAAUGAUAGCCCUUGUGUCCUCUCAGAGCCUACUUUGUCUUGAGAUGAGAGGAUUUUAGAGUUGGAAGGAGCCUAUGAGGUUCUGAGGCCCAGGCUUCUAGUUUGCCAGAGAAUCCCUUUGUAGCACCUCUGCAAUGGGCAUCUAGCUUCUGUGUGGUAUUCCAACAAAAGCAGGCCAGAUUAAACAGGAUAUUUUGGUGCAUUGCAUUCUGAUACUGUUUUUCCUGAAAAUAAAAUUCUGAUUCAGACGCAAACAAAGGAGUCUGUUUCCCCAGAUGGGUAGAAAAUAGUACAGCAUGCACCCUGGAAAGCCUAAAUUCAAAUACUGUGUAUACAAACAGUUGUUUACCCUCUGAUCCCUUUCACUAUUUUUUAUAUUCCCCAUAUGAGUGAAACCAUAUAAUGUUUGUCCUCUCCGAUUGACUUACUUCACUCAGCAUAAAACCCUCCAGUUCCAUCCACAUCAAAGCAAAUGGUGGGAUGGGAUGAGCACUGGGUGUCAUACUAUAUGUUGGCAAAUCGAACUCCAAUAAAAGAAUAUACAUACAUACGUACAUACAUACAUACAUAAAUGCAAACAACAAACAGUUGUUUAGUUACCGUUUGGAAUCAGAGAUUGUCCCCAAACCAAUUUUAUUGAAAGAGAAAGUCCAAAAUGAUGUAAGAAUUGGUUUGCUCAUUUUUCUUCUUUUCUUUUUAUGAUUGAAUCUUAAUCCACAACCCCACCCCUCACAUUCUCCUCUUUCUAGCAUUAAAUAUUAAAUAUCACCAGGAUAUUUAGUUUCCUUAGGAACAUCUCUCAGUACAGAUGCUGUGGAUGAGACAUUAAUUCUAGAUAUUCUUUCUCUGCAUGCUGAGAGUCAUUUAGCUCCAAGUGAAAGUUUGUGUGUCCCUGCAAGUCCCUGUUCUCAUAGUUGAAUAACUGGUGAUUGUGUGGCAUGCAAUAGAACUACCCAGAGGGUUUGUUAAAACAUGCUGCUGGCCCCUCCUGAGUCUUUGAUUUGCUAGAAUUGAGGCAAAGCCCAAAAAUUUGCAUUUUUAACAUGACAUUUUAACAUGUCCCUGGUGCUGAUAUUGCUGGCCCAGUGACCAACUUUGAGAAUAACCGUAUCUGGCCUCCCCCUUCCCAAUCACCUAAAUAAUUCUACUCUGGGGACAUCUGAGUGGGUGGCUCAGUCGGUUAAGUGUGGGACUCUAGAUUUUGGCUCAGGUCAUGAUCUCAGGGUUGUGGGAUUGAGCCUCAAUUGGACUCCACCACUAAGCAUGGAGCCUGCUUAAGAUUUUAUUUUAUUUCUCCUUUUUCCUCUGCACCUUGAGAGCAUGUUCUCUUUCUCUCUUAAAAACAAAACAAAAAACAAACCAAAAAAAACCUCUGGUUAAAGUUGGUAAGGGUGGAGGAGGACAUGCCCUGUAGCAUGCUGCCAGAUAUACCACACAGAGGCAUGCUUCGCACACAAUUUAAGAUAUAUUGGAGAUGGAGUUCAGAAGUCCAAAUUUAAUUUCAAAAUUUCAAGUCUUUCGGAUUUAUUAAGGCAAUCUUUUUUUUUUCUUCAAAGCCCUUCCUCCAUCCCCGCUGGAUGAGGUGCUGCUGUUUUCUGUUUUAGGUACUGCUGCAGCUCUCUCAGCCUGGAAAAGAUGAGCAAAGGUGAUCAUUUGGUUCUCAGCACUAACUCUUUAGCCUUUGGACAGCAAUCAAAAGUAGAUUGGAAUGAGAAGGUGGAAAAAUGUACACCAGGAGAAAUGCCUUGUAUUA